AGACAGACCGAAACAGAUCACGGGAAAAUUAAGACGCGUUUUUUUUGGCAAAAUCGUAAAGGUGUACACUGGACUUCAAUUAAACAUCAAUUUAGCAUUCUUUUGGAAAAAGACACCUCCUUCAACUUGGAAAUGCAAGCACGGAACAUUACCGUUACGGUCUGUAGUUGGAUGGGUUGGUUUCCCACAAACCGGAGAGCACUGCUUAUUGUACUUGGUGAAGGUCGCAAAUAUACGGAAAACAGCAGUAGUUUUUCAUCACCUGCCUCACGGACAAUUCUUUUAAAGUACAGUCCGAAAAGUACGAUGAAAAAUCCUCGAUUAGAUUUUACCCGUUUUAACUACAAUCAUCAAGUACGCUCCGAUCGGGUUCAGAUUUUAUAAACCGACUGCUAGACAUUAUUUGCAACGUCGAGGAAAAUCACUAACAAUUGUUAGCAAUCAGCGGAUUCAAAAUUGCAACUGGCCGACUAUGACAAAACGGAGAUCGUUCGCUGCGCAACAAAAAGAACCGAGUAGGAAAAUUUUCAAGUGUACCGGAAGGAGCUUGCCGUCAUCCAGCACGAGAAAUCCGAAUGAAAGAAUGUAUUUUUUGACAUCAAUCCGUCCAUUUUUUAAUAUCGCGACAAUUACCAUUAGAAGAUCUUAGAUCGUUGUGCUGCUGCAAAGAUAUAAGUACACCGGAUUUUUUGUGUUUAAUC